rnacentral:rRNA from 1 species
GAUGAACGCUGGCGGCGUGCUUAACACAUGCAAGUCGAACGAAGCACUCUAUUUGAUUUUCUUCGGAAAUGAAGAUUUUGUGACUGAGUGGCGGACGGGUGAGUAACGCGUGGGUAACCUGCCUCAUACAGGGGGAUAACAGUUGGAAACGACUGCUAAUACCGCAUAAGCGCACAGGAUUGCAUGAUCCGGUGUGAAAAACUCCGGUGGUAUGAGAUGGACCCGCGUCUGAUUAGCCAGUUGGCAGGGUAACGGCCUACCAAAGCGACGAUCAGUAGCCGACCUGAGAGGGUGACCGGCCACAUUGGGACUGAGACACGGCCCAAACUCCUACGGGAGGCAGCAGUGGGGAAUAUUGCACAAUGGGGGAAACCCUGAUGCAGCGACGCCGCGUGAGCGAAGAAGUAUUUCGGUAUGUAAAGCUCUAUCAGCAGGGAAGAAGAAUGACGGUACCUGACUAAGAAGCACCGGCUAA